GACGAACGCUGGCGGCGUGCUUAACACAUGCAAGUCGAGCGGUAAGGCCCUUUUGGGGGUACACGAGCGGCGAACGGGUGAGUAACACGUGGGUGACCUGCCCUCAGCUCUGGGAUAAGCCUGGGAAACUGGGUCUAAUACUGGAUAUGACCUUUCCUCGCAUGGGGUUGGGGUGGAAAGUUUUUCGGCUGGGGAGUGGGCCCGCGGCCUAUCAGCUUGUUGGUGGGGUGAUGGCCUACCAAGGCGACGACGGGUAGCCGGCCUGAGAGGGCGACCGGCCACACUGGGACUGAGACACGGCCCAGACUCCUACGGGAGGCAGCAGUGGGGAAUAUUGCGCAAUGGGCGGAAGCCUGACGCAGCGACGCCGCGU
rnacentral:rRNA from 1 species